rnacentral:rRNA from 1 species
AGCGAACGCUGGCGGCAGGCUUAACACAUGCAAGUCGAGCGGGCCCUUCGGGGUCAGCGGCAGACGGGUGAGGAACACGUGGGAACGUACCCUUUGGUUCGGAAUAACGCUGGGAAACUAGCGCUAAUACCGGAUACGCUCUUUUGGGGUAAGGCUUGCUGCCGCAGGAUCGGCCCGCGUCUGAUUAGCCAGUUGGUGGGGUAAUGGCCUACCAAGGCGUCGAUCAGUAGCUGGUCGGAGAGGAUGAUCAGCCACACUGGGACUGAGACACGGCCCAGAAUCCUACGGGAGGGAGCAGUGGGGAAUAUUGGACAAUGGGCGCAAGCCUGAUCCAGCCAUGCCGCGUGAGUGAUGAAGGCCUUAGGGUUGUAAAGCUCUUUUGUCCGGGACGAUAAUGACGGUACCGGAAGAAUAAGCCCCGGCUAACUUCGUG